rfam:Salmo salar isolate Sally breed double haploid chromosome ssa04, whole genome shotgun sequence.
AAUGCACCAAUUUGUAAGUCGCUCUGGAUAAGAGCGUCUUGCUAAAUGACGUAAA